AUUGAACGCUGGCGGCAGGCUUAACACAUGCAAGUCGAGCGGGGGAAGGUAGCUUGCUACCGGACCUAGCGGCGGACGGGUGAGUAAUGCUUAGGAAUCUGCCUAUUAGUGGGGGACAACAUCUCGUAAGGGAUGCAAAUACUGCAUACGUCCUACGGGAGAAAGCAGGGGAUCUUCGGACCUUGCGCUAAUAGAUGAGUCUAAGUCGGAUUAGCUAGUUGGUGGGGUAAAGGCCUACCAAGGCGACGAUCUGUAGCGGGUCUGAGAGGAUGAUCCGCCACACUGGGACUGAGACACGACCCAGACUCCUACGGGAGGCAUCAGUGGGGAAUAUUGGACAAUGGGGGGAACCCUGAUCCAGCCAUGCCGCGUGUGUGAAGAAGGCCUUAUGGUUGUAAAGCACUUUAAGCGAGGAGGAGGCUACUCUAGUUAAUACCUAGGGAUAGUGGACGUUACUCGCAGAAUAAGCACCGGCUAACUCUGUGCCAGCCGCCGCCGUAA
rnacentral:rRNA from 1 species